rnacentral:rRNA from 1 species
AGUAACACGUGGGAACAUGCCCUUCGGUACGGAACAACUCAGGGAAACUUGAGCUAAUACCGUAUGAUCCGGCAACGGCAAAGAUUUAUCGCCGGAGGAUUGGCCCGCGUCCGAUUAGCUGGCUGGUGAGGUAAGGGCUCACCAGGGCGACGAUCGGUAGCUGGUCUGAGAGGACGAUCAGCCACACUGGGAUUGAGAACGGCCCAGACUCCUACGGGGGGCAGCAGUGAGGAAUUUUCCGCAAUGGAGGGAACUCUGACGGAGCAACGCCGCGUGCAGGAAGACGGCCUUCGGGUUGUAAACUGCUUUUCUGUGGGAAGAGAUUGGACGGUACCACAGGAAGAAGCCCCGGCUAACUACGUG